GAUGAACGCUGGCGGCGUGCCUAAUACAUGCAAGUCGAGCGAACGGACGAGAAGCUUGCUUCUCUGAUGUUAGCGGCGGACGGGUGAGUAACACGUGGAUAACCUACCUAUAAGACUGUGAUAACUUCGGGAAACCGGAGCUAAUACCGGAUAAUAUUUUGAACCGCAUGGUUCAAAAGUGAAAGACGGUCUUGCUGUCACUUAUAGAUGGAUCCGCGCUGCAUUAGCUAGUUGGUAAGGUAACGGCUUACCAAGGCAACGAUGCAUAGCCGACCUGGGAGGGUGAUCGGCCACACUGGGACUGAGACGCGGUCCUGACUCCUACGGGAGGCCGCGGUAGGGAAUCUUCCGCGAUGGGCGGAAGCCUGACGGAGCAACGCCGCGUGAGUGAUGAAGGUCUUCGGAUCGUAAAACUCUGUUAUUAGGGAAGAACAUAUGUGUAAGUAACUGUGCACAUCUUGACGGUACCUAAUCAGAAAGCCACGGCUAACUACGUG
rnacentral:rRNA from 1 species